AGGCAACUAGCACAGUGGUCAGUACGCUUCGUUGUGAUCCUCGACGGUCCCGAAGAAACCCAGGUUCGAUUCCUAGGUUGCCCA